rnacentral:tRNA from 1 species
CAUCAGAUGACUGAAAGCAAGUAAUGGUCUCUUAAACCAGUCAAUAGUAAACUAGCGCCUACUUCUGAUGA